UACGGAGGAGGCAAGCGUUAUCCGGAAUUAUUGGGCGUAAAGCGUACGCAGGUGGCUAUUCACGUCUGCUGUCAAAGACUGGGGCUUAACCCUGGAAAGGCCGUGGAAACUGAAGAGCUAGAGUGCAGUAGGGGUAGAGGGAAUUCCCGGUGUAGCGGUGAAAUGCGUAGAGCUCGGGAAGAACAUCGGUGGCGAAAGCGCUCUGCUGGACUGCAACUGACACUCAGGGACGAAAGCUAGGGGAGCGAAUGGG
rnacentral:rRNA from 1 species